CUUUUCCCUCACAACACCAGCAGCAUUACAACACACCGUCAUUUUAUUAUGACAGUACGAAACUUUGGCCAGGAACCAUCUACAAAUACAUAUCAGGUUCUAAUGAGGCGUUAAUGUCUGUGAGAAGCAAAACAAGGCAUGAUGGAUGCAAAAUUUACAGAGCGAUGUACAAUCUGAUAUACUGAUAGUGACCUAUAGACAUAAAUACCAGGACAGGAAGCAAGGCAGCUUCUACGGGGCCCAGCAGCUAAAAGGAAGGAUUAGAAAAGAGCAUUAAAAAUAACUCUGAUAACAAUAGCGGAAGGUAUAGGCAGCCGUGUGGGAAAUACCUGGGCCUUACAUUGUAAUCCUCCUGCAAAGACAAGUGUAAGGCUGAUUAAUGGCGCCAAACACUGACACUCGCAAAAAUGCCGCAGUCACAAAUCUCAGCCUGGAAGAGAAGGUUCUGUAGAGCAUGGCAGACGCCGACUUUCAGCCACGUCGAAAGAAGGAGCUUUGAACGUUUAACUUUCAUGUGUGAAGAAUUCCUCGCGCGUGGUCCGUUCAUCAAGUUGCACGGGUAGCCUCGCCUCGGGCGAUUUUUUUUUAGAGAUGGGGGAAGAAAAAAGUAUGACAUUUCUACGACCGGAGACAACUAGAAGAAAGUGAAAGGGCUUCGAAUAGGAAUGAAUUGACUUUCUCUGCCCGCCCCCCCUCCUAUCAGUGAUGCUACGUCUGUGUGCAGGUAAAGCAUGGAUUAAGCAAGGUACUUACUUAUGAUAAGAUGCUGCGGAUAAAUUGUUUGGGACCCUCAAGACUCCUCAACUACGCCAUUCACUGAAGUGUCGAACUUUUCCGUGGACACCGGCUGCCAUAAUUCCUAUCAAGAAUUGACCAGAAUUUUCCAGUGAAUAGGUGAUGUUAUGGUAACACAUGGUCUCGUGUGCCUCCGAGUCUGAAGGAGUUGCUGCUUUCUGUCCUGGAGUUGGAACAAAGUUGCAAAAGCUUAUCAGAAUCAUAUGUACCACUACAGGCUACUAUGCAGAAGACUUUAUCCGGACCUGAGGGACCUACUUCUUACUUCUUUUCUUCUGAACUUUCCACUUGGCUUAGGGUGAUGAACGUUUCCAGUUGGAAGCCAGCCUACAGAGUUUUCUUUAGGGAAUUUACAAAACUCAGAAACUGCUCAAGUAAACAUCUAUAUUGUUAACACACUUAAAGGGGUAUUCCAGUCAUACACAUCUUAUCCCCUAUCCAAAGGGGGCCCCCCUUGUGAUGUCACAAUACGCCCCCCCCCCCCCUCCAUUCAUGUCUAUGGGAGUGGGUGUGACAACCAUCACGCCCUCUUCCAUAGACAUAAAUGGAGGGGACGGGGCGUGACAUCGCAUCUCCAGUCCCGGAAACACAGAGGUUUCUGACACUGGAGAAGCAGUUGGGUGCUGCACGGAGAUUGCGGAGGGUCCCCUUUGGAUAGGGGAUAAGAUGUCUGUGGCGAGAAUACCACUUUAACUUCUUCAGUACGAUCUACCAUCUGUCAUCAUCUACCUAAGGUACUUUUUUGUUGGAACUGUUUAAUACGUUUGCUAAAAGUUACGCAUUAUAAUAAACAUCCUUUGAAUCUUGGGUUAUACUGUACACUUAACAUCACAGGUCUUCCACACACCAUCAGCAAUUGUCACCAGUGUGGUGUCCCGGUACCGUAUGGCAUACAAUACCUAGUGUAAAGGUCCCCAAAGUCAGAGUAACUACGUUCAGGUAGGGUUCCUCAGGUGGGACAGCCCCUAGUCCCCUCUCCUUAAGUUUAACUUGUAUAUUAAUAAAUGGAUAUAUUAGUAAUUCUAUCUAUAUUAUAUAGGAAUGUAUAGUACUUACCUUGUUCAGCGUCGCAGGGCCCUCGGUCAUGUGACCAAGCUAGUAACCUCUAUGGUAUGUUGCAGGACCUUAGGAGGUCCUUGGGUCACGUGUUACCCAGCAUUCUCUGUAAUGGUGAUUGACAUCCGUAUAGGACCAAUUAGCUUUCGUCCAGCCCCUGCCCAUAUAAGGUAGCUGCGUCCAAUUAUCGCUCUCUUGGGUUGCUGCUCUCGUAAAUGCCGGACUAACAGGACGGUGUGCUGCGCAACACGACACGCUAGGACUCAAAACCUACGGCCUCAGCAGAACCAAAAAUCAUGACUCAUACUAAUUCCUGCUAAUACUAGCCUGACUACUGGACCGCAACUAAUUCUCUAAAUCCAGUGGAGCAGCGCAAUAGUCUAGAGACUCCUAAAGCUAAAGUCCCAACCAUUGUCAAUCUCCAAAAGGAAGCUAUAUUGAUGAGAGACUGUUAUUGUUACGCCGAGCGCUCCGGGUCCCCGCUCCUCCCCGGAGCGCUCGCUACACUCUCCCCACUGCAGCGCUCCGUUCAGAUCCACUGACCCGGGGCGCUGCGAUUCCGCUUCCAGCCGGGAUGCGAUUCGCGAUGCGGGUAGCGCCCGCUCGCGAUGUGCACCCCGGCUCCCGUACCUGACUCGCUCUCCCUCGGUCCUGUCCCGGCGCGCGCGGCCCCGCUCCCUAGGGCGCGCGCGCGCCGGGUCUUUGCGUUUUAAAGGGCCACUGCGCCGCUGAUUGGCGCAGUGAUUCCAAUUAGUGUGUUCACCUGUGCACUUCCCUAUAUCACCUCACUUCCCCUGCACUCCCUUGCCGGAUCUUGUUGCCAUCGUGCCAGUGAAAGCGUUUCCUUGUGUGUUCCUAGCCUGUGUUCCAGACCUCCUGCCGUUGCCCCUGACUACGAUCCUUGCUGCCUGCCCCGACCUUCUGCUACGUCCGACCUUGCUUCUGUCUACUCCCUUGUACCGCGCCUAUCUUCAGCAGUCAGAGAGGUUGAGCCGUUGCUAGUGGAUACGACCUGGUCACUACCGCCGCAGCAAGUCCAUCCCGCUUUGCGGCGGGCUCUGGUGAAAACCAGUAGUGACUUAGAACCGAUCCACUAGCACGGUCCACGCCAAUCCCUCUCUGGCACAGAGGAUCCACUACCUGCCAGCCGGCACCGUGACAGUAGAUCCGGCCAUGGAUCCCGCUGAAGUUCCUCUGCCAGUUGUCGCUGACCUCACCACGGUGGUCGCCCAGCAGUCACAACAGAUAGCGCAACAAGGCCAACAGCUGUCUCAACUGACCGUGAUGCUACAGCAGUUACUACCACAGCUUCAGCAAUCAUCUCCUCCGCCAGCUCCUGCACCUCCUCCGCAGCGAGUGGCCGCCUCUGGUCUACGCCUAUCCUUGCCGGAUAAAUUUGAUGGGGACUCUAAGUUUUGCCGUGGCUUUCUUUCCCAAUGUUCCCUGCACCUGGAGAUGAUGUCGGACCAGUUUCCCACUGAAAGGUCUAAGGUGGCUUUCGUAGUCAGCCUUCUGUCUGGAAAAGCCCUGUCUUGGGCCACACCGCUCUGGGACCGCAAUGACCCCGUCACUGCCUCUGUACACUCCUUCUUCUCGGAAAUCCGAAGUGUCUUUGAGGAACCUGCCCGAGCCUCUUCUGCUGAGACUGCCCUGUUGAACCUGGUCCAGGGUAAUUCUUCCGUUGGCGAGUAUGCCGUACAAUUCCGUACUCUUGCUUCAGAAUUAUCCUGGAAUAAUGAGGCCCUCUGCGCGACCUUUAAAAAAGGCCUAUUCAGCAACAUUAAAGAUGUUCUGGCCGCACGAGAAAUCCCUGCUAAUCUACAUGAACUCAUUCACCUAGCCACUCGCAUUGACAUGCGUUUUUCCGAAAGGCGUCAGGAGCUCCGCCAAGAUAUG